rnacentral:rRNA from 1 species
GACGAACGCUGGCGGCGUGCUUAACACAUGCAAGUCGAACGGGAAGGCCCUGCUUUUGUGGGGUGCUCGAGUGGCGAACGGGUGAGUAACACGUGAGUAACCUGCCCUUGACUUUGGGAUAACUUCAGGAAACUGGGGCUAAUACCGGAUAGGAGCUCCUGCUGCAUGGUGGGGGUUGGAAAGUUUCGGCGGUUGGGGAUGGACUCGCGGCCUAUCAGCUUGUUGGUGAGGUAAUGGCUUACCAAGGCGACGACGGGUAGCCGGCCUGAGAGGGUGACCGGCCACACUGGGACUGAGACACGGCCCAGACUCCUACGGGAGGCAGCAGUGGGGAAUAUUGCACAAUGGGCGGAAGCCUGAUGCAGCGACGCCGCGUGAGGGAUGACGGCCUUCGGGUUGUAAACCUCUUUCAGUAGGGAAGAAGCGAAAGUGACGGUACCUGCAGAAGAAGCACCGGCUAACUACGUG